AUUGAACGCUGGCGGCAUGCUUUACACAUGCAAGUCGAACGGCAGCGCGGGGGCAACCCUGGCGGCGAGUGGCGAACGGGUGAGUAAUGUAUCGGAACGUAUCCUGUAAUGGGGGAUAACCAGUCGAAAGAUUGGGUAAUACCGCAUACGCACGAGAGUGGAAAGUAGGGGAUCGCAAGACCUUACGUUAUAGGAGCGGCCGAUAUCUGAUUAGCUAGUUGGUGGGGUAAAGGCCUACCAAGGCGACGAUCAGUAGCUGGUCUGAGAGGACGACCAGCCACACUGGGACUGAGACACGGCCCAGACUCCUACGGGAGGCAGCAGUGGGGAAUUUUGGACAAUGGGCGAAAGCCUGAUCCAGCCAUGCCGCGUGCAGGAAGAAGGCCUUCGGGUUGUAAACUGCUUUAGUCUAGGAAAAAGGGGUGCCGAGGUUAAUACCCCUCGUGCUUUGAUGGUACUGGAAGUAAUAAGCACCGGCUAACUACGUG
rnacentral:rRNA from 1 species